rnacentral:rRNA from 1 species
AUACGAAGGGGGCUAGCGUUGCUCGGAAUUACUGGGCGUAAAGGGAGCGUAGGCGGGUUAUCAAGUUGGAGGUGAAAGCCCAGGGCUCAACCUUGGAAUUGCCUUCAAAACUGAUAGCCUAGAGUAUGAUAGAGGUAAGUGGAAUUCCGAGUGUAGAGGUGAAAUUCGUAGAUAUUCGGAGGAACACCGGUGGCGAAGGCGACUUACUGGAUCAUGACUGACGCUGAGGCUCGAAAGCGUGGGGAGC